AUUGAACGCUGGCGGCAGGCUUAACACAUGCAAGUCGAGCGAGCGGCGGACGGGUGAGUAAUGUCUGGGAAACUGCCUGUUGGAGGGGGAUAACUACUGGAAACGGUAGCUAAUACCGCAUACCAUCAGAUGUGCCUAGAUGGGAUUAGCUAGUAGGUGGGGUAAUGGGUCACCUAGGCGACGAUCCCUAGCUGGUCUGAGAGGAUGACCAGUCAGACUGGAACUGAGGCACGGUCCAGACUCCUACGGGAGGAAGCGGUGGGGAAUAUUGCACAAUGGGCGCAAGCCUGAUGCAGCCAUGCCGCGUGUGGGAAGAAGGCCUUCGGGUUGUAAAGCACUUUCAGCGAGGAGGCGUUACUCGCAGAAGAAGCGCCGGCUAACUACGUGCCAGCAGCCGCGGUAAUUC
rnacentral:rRNA from 1 species